AACGAACGCUGGCGGCAUGCCUAACACAUGCAAGUCGAACGAGACCUUCGGGUCUAGUGGCGCACGGGUGCGUAACGCGUGGGAACCUGCCCUUAGGUUCGGAAUAACUCCCCAAAGGGGUUCUUAUUCCGGAUUAUGUUUUUGGCCCAAAGAAUUAUCGGCUUUGUAUGGGGCCGCGUUGGAUUAGCUAGUUGGUAGGGUAAAAGCCUUCCAAGGCGACGGUGCAUAGCUGGUCGGAGAGGAUGAUCAGCCACACUGGGACUGAGACACGGCCCAGACUCCUACGGGAGGGAGCAGUGGGGAAUAUUAGACAAUGGGCGAAAGCCUGAUCCAGCAAUGCCGCGUGAGUGAUGAAGGCCUUAGGGUUGUAAAGCUCUUUUACCCGGGAUGAUAAUGACAGUACCGGGAGAAUAAGCUCCGGCUAACUCCGUG
rnacentral:rRNA from 1 species